AUUGAACGCUGGCGGCAUGCCUUACACAUGCAAGUCGAACGGUAACGGGCCUUCGGGUGCCGACGAGUGGCGAACGGGUGAGUAAUACAUCGGAACGUGCCCGAUCGUGGGGGAUAACGGGGCGAAAGCUUUGCUAAUACCGCAUACGAUCUACGGAUGAAAGCAGGGGACCGCAAGGCUUUGCGAGGACGGAGCGGCCGAUGGCAGAUUAGGUAGUUGGUGGGAUAAAAGCUUACCAAGCCGACGAUCUGUAGCUGGUCUGAGAGGAUGAUCAGCCACACUGGGACUGAGACACGGCCCAGACUCCUACGGGAGGCAGCAGUGGGGAAUUUUGGACAAUGGGCGCAAGCCUGAUCCAGCCAUGCCGCGUGCAGGAUGAAGGCCUUCGGGUUGUAAACUGCUUUUGUACGGAACGAAAAGCCUUCUUUUAAUACAGGAGGGUCAUGACGGUACCGUAAGAAUAAGCACCGGCUAACUACGUG
rnacentral:rRNA from 1 species